GACGAGGGACCCUAGCGUUGUUCGGAAUCAUUGGGCAUAAAGCGGGUGUAGGUGGCUUUGUAAGUCAGGUGUGAAAUCUCGGGGCUCAACCCCGGAAACUGCACUUGAUACUGCCUUGCUUGAGUACUGGAGAGGAGAUUGGAAUUUACGGUGUAGCAGUGAAAUGCGUAGAUAUCGUAAGGAAGACCAGUGGCGAAGGCGAAUCUCUGGACAGUUACUGACACUGAGGCACGAAGGCCAGGGGAGCAAACGGG
rnacentral:rRNA from 1 species